rnacentral:rRNA from 1 species
CUGCCUGUAAGACUGGGAUAACUCCGGGAAACCGGGGCUAAUACCGGAUGCUUGUUUGAACCGCAUGGUUCAAACAUAAAAGGUGGCUUCGGCUACCACUUACAGAUGGACCCGCGGCGCAUUAGCUAGUUGGUGAGGUAAUGGCUCACCAAGGCGACGAUGCGUAGCCGACCUGAGAGGGUGAUCGGCCACACUGGGACUGAGACACGGCCCAGACUCCUACGGGAGGCAGCAGUAGGGAAUCUUCCGCAAUGGACGAAAGUCUGACGGAGCAACGCCGCGUGAGUGAUGAAGGUUUUCGGAUCGUAAAGCUCUGUUGUUAGGGAAGAACAAGUACCGUUCGAAUAGGGCGGUACCUUGACGGUACCUAACCAGAAAGCCACGGCUAACUACGUGCCAGCAGCCGCGGUAAUACGUAGGUGGCAAGCGUUGUCCGGAAUUAUUGGGCGUAAAGGGCUCGCAGGCGGUUUCUUAAGUCUGAUGUGAAAGCCCCCGGCUCAACCGGGGAAGGGUCAUUGGAAACUGGGGAACUUGAGUGCAGAAGAGGAGAGUGGAAUUCCACGUGUAGCGGUGAAAUGCGUAGAGAUGUGGAGGAACACCAGUGGCGAAGGCGACUCUCUGGUCUGUAACUGACGCUGAGGAGCGAAAGCGUGGGGAGCGAACAGGAUUAGAUACCCUGGUAGUCCACGCCGUAAACGAUGAGUGCUAAGUGUUAGGGGGUUUCCGCCCCUUAGUGCUGCAGCUAACGCAUUAAGCACUCCGCCUGGGGAGUACGGUCGCAAGACUGAAACUCAAAGGAAUUGACGGGGGCCCGCACAAGCGGUGGAGCAUGUGGUUUAAUUCGAAGCAACGCGAAGAACCUUACCAGGUCUUGACAUCCUCUGACAAUCCUAGAGAUAGGACGUCCCCUUCGGGGGCAGAGUGACAGGUGGUGCAUGGUUGUCGUCAGCUCGUGUCGUGAGAUGUUGGGUUAAGUCCCGCAACGAGCGCAACCCUUGAUCUUAGUUGCCAGCAUUCAGUUGGGCACUCUAAGGUGACUGCCGGUGACAAACCGGAGGAAGGUGGGGAUGACGUCAAAUCAUCAUGCCCCUUAUGACCUGGGCUACACACGUGCUACAAUGGACAGAACAAAGGGCAGCGAAACCGCGAGGUUAAGCCAAUCCCACAAAUCUGUUCUCAGUUCGGAUCGCAGUCUGCAACUCGACUGCGUGAA